ensembl:lncRNA
GCCCACGCGCUCCACAUGCUCGGCGAGAUAUGAGCGCCAGUUAGAUGCACUUGGAUUACCGGCUGCUGAACUGAAACAACGUCUCCGCUCAUAAAAAUAUGUAAAACAGUGACGUUUCUGAUUACACUUCUUUUUAACGAGUGGAUAUUCUCCUCAGUCGGAGAUAAAACACAAGAUGCAGUGAAAGCAUCACUUAUUAUAGUCCCAGACGAUGGAAUUCAGUUUGAGAAGCCCAGUGUGAGAAAGUGAAGUGUGCGCGGGAUAUAGGCUACAUUCUCCUCCAUAUAACGAGCCUCCAUUGACUGCCUGUGAUGUGCCUUUUCUGUCUGCUCCCAGAAAGCUAUUUGUGCCCCAUUAUCUGAUUUAUAGAGAGUUUAAAGGAGUCUAUGGUACCAGAGGCAAGCCCACUCCCAUGUUUUCUAUGGAAGAGGAAAAUGCAUGAGCUCACAGUAUGCCAUCUCGGAUAAAAGUGCCUUGAAAUUUAUCCUGAGUCUGCAAAAGUGCUCUACACCCGCUUUUAUUUUCUCCCCUUGACAGCCUGGCAUUUGAGCGGCCUAGUAACAGCUCCAUAGCCGUAUCGGUUCUCUGUGCCACUGCAUUUUGCUGGUGUGAACAGAGAAGUCACAGCAGCUGAGAUAGAAAUCAAAGGCUGUCUGAGGAAGGUCAUAAGGCAUGAAUUGAAGAGUAGGAUGAACCACCUUUCCAUUUUGCUCGAGAUAAAGUGUAUCACUGUUUUAUCUGCUAGACACAAUGUUUUCUCAAACUGCACACUCCCCAG